GUGUGUGAGAGAGAGAGAGAGAGAGAGAGAGAGAGAGAGCGCGAUCACAACAAGCGAGUCGGUCGGCAGAAGGACGGAUAUAAAGUGUCAUUCUGCAUUUCUUCUGUUUUUCUUAUCCAACACACAGAAGGACUGAAAGCAAAACAAAGUGGAGGUGGAGAUUUGUGGCUGAAGAUGAAUCCCGUUUGAGAAAAGUGUGAACUAAAGAAAACUUACCUGCGCCGAGGAGAGAGAGAGAGAGAGUGUGUGAGAGAGAGAGAGAGAGAGAGAGAGAGAGAGAGAGAGAGAGAGAGAACAGGAGGAGGAUUAACGCAGCUGUAGAGGUUUCCUGACACGGAGUGGGAUGUGAGCGGACCGGUGAAGGGCCGAGCGUAAAGGAGCAUGGUGAAACACCAACCCUUACAGGUCUACGAGAGACAGCUGUGUUUGUCCUGCCUGACCGGGAUCUACGGGUGCCGCUGGAAACGCUACCAGCGCUCCCAUGAUGACAGCUCCAAGUGGGAGUGCUCCUGGUUCCUCAUCCUGUGCUCCUCGUUUCUCCUCCUCCUCGUCUGGACCUACUUUUGGUGGGAGGCUCAGAACGACUACAACGAGUUUAACUGGUUGUUAUAUAACCGAUCAGGGGAGUGGAGCGAUGGCACCGUCCCUAUUCUCGCCACCACACUCGUGGGAUUCUCUUACACUGCAUUUUUAAUGAUAUUAGGCCUUUGUCAUAUCGCACUGGGGCAGCAGCUCAACCUCUACUGGAUUCAUAAGAUUGGAGUGCUGUCCAUCCUUCUUAUUACCAUCACAGGUGUGGUGUCCAUUGAUGACAUAUGGAGGGACGAAUGGGACGUCAUCCUCAUCUCGCUGCAGUCGACUGGACCCUUCCUGCACGUCGGGGCCGUGGCUCUCAUGACGGCGUUGGGAUGGAUCGUCGCCAGCCAGGUGGUGCGUGGAGAAAGAACGAGGUUUCAGCUGCUGCUUCUCCUGCUGUAUGUGUGUGUCCUCCUGGCUCUCUAUCUGACUCCCCUCACCAUCUCCUCCCCCUGCAUCAUGAACCGAUCGAACCUGAAGCCUCGGCCCGCCAUCGUCGGCCGCCGAGGAGCUCCAAUGCUCGCUCCGGAGAACACCAUCAUGUCCUUCAACAAAGCCUUGCAGCAGAGAGUCAGCGGCUUCGAGGCUGACGUCACCAUCAGUGCAGACGGUGUCGCCUUCUUGAUGCGUGACCGAACGCUGCGCCGCACCACAGACGUGGCUCGAGUCUUUCCUCAGAGGCAACACGACGACGCCUCGCUCUUCACCUGGUCUGAGAUACGCUCUCUAAACGCUGGCCUGUGGUUUCUCAGGGAUGACCCCUAUUGGACGACCCAUUCAAUGUCUAUUAAGGAGCGCGGCCGAGCAGCCAAUCAGACGGUGUCUAGUCUGGUGGAACUGCUACGUCUGGCGGCGAAGACAAACCGUUCGGUGACGUUCAGCCUGCGCAGACCUCCACCUCAACACCCACGACACGAGCUCUGGGUCAGCGAUGCCCUAAAGGCUGUGCAGCGCUCAGGCAUCCAGUCUGAACAGGUGAUGUGGAUGACAGACUGGUACAGAAAGAAGGUGCGAUCCGCUGUGCCAAUGCUGGAGCAGAUGGUGGAGGAGAAAGUUUCAGCAGAGGAGAAUAAAGAAAGGGGAAUCCGUACAGUGAGCAUACACUACAGCCAAGUAACACCAGCAGAAAUCAGACGCUUGAGAGCCCGCAACGUGAGCGUGAACGUGUCCCCAGUGAACGAGCCGUGGCUUUACUCUGUGUUGUGGUGCAGCGGCGUUCAGUCCGUCUCAUCUGACGCUCCUCACAUCCUCCGCCAAGUGCCUCAGCCCAUCUGGUUAAUGAGUCCAGACGAAUACUGCUUAAUAUGGAUCAUGACUGAUUUAAUAUCCGCAGCAAUCGUGAUAGGAAUAUUUAUAUUUCAGAACUUUCACUUCAUCAGGUGGAGGAUGAGCGGGAUGCGCAGCUACAACCCGGAGCAGAUCAUGCUGAGCGCCGUGGUGCGCAGACCCAGCCGAGACGUCAACAUCAUGAAGGAAAAACUCAUCUUCUCAGAAAUUAACAACGGCAUCAGCAGCGCAGACGAGCUGCCUCUCUACACCGAGCACGGAUAUGAAGGAUAUGCCCGCAACACCAUUUCCCGCUGAGCCGGAAGUUGUUCGGAUGUCCUCUGUCCUCGUUUCGCUUCACAUAAACAUUGCUGCAUGGACUCUGGGAAAGACUGUGUCUUUCUUUCGGACCGAACUGCUGAAGGGCCGAUGAAGGGCUUCUCAGAUUUCUGGUCCUCGUGCAAGUGGAGCUCUGAAUUUUUCUACAAAUCUGACGAUCAUCUGUGAUCUUUGGAGGACGCAGGAUUAUUUGUAUUCAGAAAUAGGUCUGUUCUGUGAGUAGUUUUAUUUUUUUUUAUAUAUAUUAUUAAUAUAUAUCCUCGGUGUAGAAUUUUGUGCCGUCUACGCCGCAGUGGUUGAAGUACUGUGGUUCUCAGAGUUUGGGUUGAAAUGAUGCCUCUGUGACGUGCAAUUCUGAAUGUAUUACAUUUGUAGGAAGUGAAUAAAAAAGAAGAAGACAAGCCACUUGGAGAAAAUAAAUAAAGGUAAGCUGAGGCGAUGCCUACGAUUUCAUGCUCUUGCCGGAUGAAUACGGCGUCUGAUCGAAAGCUCUGAUUAGAGCGCGAUGAGUCGUAGGAGGUUCAUGAGAUACGAUCACGAUUUCAUAUUCACACUCACGUUAUAAAUGUUCAGUUAUAUCUUUUGAUUCCUAUCUAAGAAAUCUAAGAUAAUUUUGUUCAGAAUUCAGAUCUUCUGAAAGUUUGUUCUCAGAACUUUUACAGGGCCAUGCAGAAUUUCCUCAGACUUAAAGGUGCAGUGUGUAAAUUGGGUGGACUGUUUUGUGGAGCCUGUUUUGCUACACGUGUUUUCUUGUUAAAAAAAAAAAAAAAAAAAAAGAAUGUCAGUGGAUGUCGAAAACAAAAAAACCUAGUGCAGGAAGUAAAAAGACACAUGAUGAAGGAUAUGAGUAUAAUAAUUAAGCAAAAGAUUGGCCUUCUGUUCUGACCAAUCAGUACCACUAAAUUUUUCCUUUAACAGGUAUGUUACUCAAAAUGUUAGAGGAAUAUAAUCAAAUAUUCCAAAAUGUCUUGAUUAUUAUAUCACUGACUGCACCUUUAAUCUGGUGGUUGUGAGUCAGGAGUCUUGUAUUCAUUUAGUAUUCAAAUGAGAAAUAUCAUACAUAUUUUUUAUUUUAUUGACUCAACCAUCCUUUCAUCAUUAACAAGAAAAAGAAUGAUCAUUACAUUUUGUUAAAAAAAUAAAAAAAAGUUACAUACUGCCGCUUUAAUCCCAAACCUGAUUUUAAACUCAAAUAUAACACAAUAAAUACAGAACAUAUAUCAGGUUUAUUUAAAAUUACUUCCAUAUAGUGCACACACCCACACAUACUGGAGUAAGUGAGAUUGAGAUUAAAGCUGCAGUGUGUAACUUGAUGAAAUCAAAGUAGCAGCAGGAAAGAUUAUGUGCUUGGGGAAAAAAAACUAAAAAAAAAAAUUAAACCUUGGUGCAUUCACUGCAGAAAAUAUAUCAGGUUUAUUUAAGGAAGGUUCAUGUAUUUCUUUUACAUGUCAUUUACAUUCUAUUUACAGUUCUUUUGUUCUCUCUGAUUUACAGUGAAUGUUGAAAGAAGUGACAGACACACCCACACACACACACUCACACAUAAAUGUAUAUAUCAGUUUCCUAUGUUUCAUGGCACAACUGACUGACAGCUCAUAAUGGAAGGAAGGCUCCAGUUUGAUGCUGAAACAACAACUACAGUAACGUCCUGACAUUUACACAGAUUGAUGGCUGGGUCGUGUUGUUCCUGAGAUGUAGGUCAGGUUCUCACAGCGCUGAAACACACUGUGGUGUGAUUAGACCUCAGCUGAUGAUGAGGACAGAGGUGCAGGAAGGUGGUGUUCUGUGUCCUCUUUGCUGCUGUUGUCAGAGCAGUCCGAGGUGAUGUAGCAGCCCGAGUCUCUGGGGCAGUCGUUCGGUUCAGCUUUCCCCGUUGCGCUCGGAGAUUUCGGAGCUUCCUCAUCUUCGACUUCUCUCUGACUGUUAGCUGAAAGAGAGAACCAACAAAGAGACUUGGGUGUUACCAGCAAGCUGACACCUUUUCUACUAUCUAAAACCCUAAACCAUAUCUAUGAUGUAGAGCUGUCUGUACACUGAAGGGAUAAAAGUCAAAAUACAGUUUGCAUCCCUUUCUUUCUGAUACUUUUCAGACUAUUUGCCACUACACGGUAUGAUGUUUU